rnacentral:rRNA from 1 species
UACGUAGGAGACGAGCGUUGUCCGGAGUUACUGGGCGUAAAGGGUGCGCAGGUGGCGGCGCGCGUGGGGGGUGAAAUCGCCCGGCUUAACUGGGCGGGGGCCUUCCAGACGGCGUGGCUUGAGCAGCGGAGGGGGACGUGGAAUUCCGGGUGGAGCGGUGAAAUGCGUAGAGAUCCGGAGGAACACCGACGGCGCAGGCAGCGUCCUGGCCGCUUGCUGAACA